AUGGCCGCGGUACUCUGACCGUGCAAAGGUAGCAUAAUCACUUGCUUCUUAAUUGGAAGCUGGGAUGAAAGGUCUGAUAAGGAAAAAACUGUUUCUACGCUAAAAUUAAAAUUUUACUUCUAAGUGAAAAGGCUUAGAUAAAUUUAAGUGACGAUAAGACCCUAUAAAACUUCCAUACUAAUAAAUUAAAUUUUUUUUUAUAAGUAAGGAGAAGGCUUCAUUUAUUAGUAUUUUGUUGGGGCGACAAGAAUAGAAUUAAAUAUCUGUUUGUCUGAUUAAUUAACUAUAAUUAAAAUCUGUCCCUCUUAUAGAGAUUAAAAGAUUAAGUUACUUUAGGGAUAACAGCGUAAUUUUCCUUUAGAGUCCCUAUCGACAGGAAUAGUUGCGACCUCGAUGUUGAAUUAAAAUGCCUAGUUACAGCGCAGUAGCUUAAGUAGUGAGUCUGUUCGACUUUUAAAAUUUU
rnacentral:rRNA from 1 species